CCCUUAGAUGUCCUGGGCCGCACGCGCGCUACAAUGACUCUCUCAGAAAGUUUUUCCUGGUCUGGAAAGAUUCAGGGUAAUCUUUGUAAUAGGAGUCGCGUUAGGGAUCGAUCUUUGCAAUUAUAGAUCUUGAACGAGGAAUGCCUAGUAAGUGCAGUUCAUCAGACUGUACUGAUUACGUCCCUGCCCUUUGUACACACCGCCCGUCGCUCCUACCGAUUUCGAGUGGUCCGGUGAACCUUUUGGACUGAAUAGCAAUAUUCGGGAAGUUAAGUAAACCUAAUCACUUAGAGGAAGGAGAAGUCGUAACA
rnacentral:rRNA from 1 species